rnacentral:rRNA from 1 species
CUUAGAAGCAGCCAUCAUUUAAAGAAAGCGUAAUAGCUCACUGGUCGAGUCGGCCUGCGCGGAAGAUGUAACGGGGCUAAACCAUGCACCGAAGCUGCGGCAGCGACACUAUGUGUUGUUGGGUAGGGGAGCGUUCUGUAAGCCUGCGAAGGUGUGCUGUGAGGCAUGCUGGAGGUAUCAGAAGUGCGAAUGCUGACAUAAGUAACGAUAAAGCGGGUGAAAAGCCCGCUCGCCGGAAGACCAAGGGUUCCUGUCCAACGUUAAUCGGGGCAGGGUGAGUCGACCCCUAAGGCGAGGCCGAAAGGCGUAGUCGAUGGGAA